GUUUCUGUGGUGCAAUGGUUAUCACAUUUGCCUAACACGCAAAAUGUUCCUGGUUCAGUACCAGGCAGAAGCA